rnacentral:rRNA from 1 species
UACGUAGGGUGCGAGCGUUAAUCGGAAUUACUGGGCGUAAAGCGUGCGCAGGCGGUUCGUUGUGUCGGUGGUGAAAUCCCCGGGCUUAACCUGGGAAUGGCCAUGGAAACUGGCGAACUGGAGUGCGGCAGAGGGGGGUGGAAUUCCGCGUGUAGCAGUGAAAUGCGUAGAGAUGCAGAGGAACACCGAUGGCGAAGGCAGCCCCCUGGGCUAGCACUGACGCUCAGGCACGAAAGCGUGGGGAGCAAACAGG